rnacentral:rRNA from 1 species
UACGUAGGGUGCGAGCGUUAAUCGGAAUUACUGGGCGUAAAGCGUGCGCAGGCGGUUUUGUAAGCCAGAUGUGAAAUCCCCGGGCUUAACCUGGGAAUGGCAUUUGGGACUGCAAGGCUGGAGUGUGGCAGAGGAGACUGGAAUUCCUGGUGUAGCAGUGAAAUGCGUAGAUAUCAGGAGGAAUACCGAUGGCGAAGGCAGGUCUCUGGGCUGACACUGACGCUAAGGCGCGAAAGCGUGGGGAGCGAACAGG